AAGCUCGUAGUUGAAUUUCGGGAUCAAUGUUUCGGUCAUGCCGUUGGUAUGUACUGGUAUUAUUGAUUUCUCACCUUCUAAAGAACCGUAAUGCCAUUAAUUUGGUGUCACGGGGAAUUAGGACUGUUACCUUGAAAAAAUUAGAGUGUUUAAAGCAGGCUCACGCUUGAAUACAUUAGCAUGGAAUAAUGAAAUAGGACAUCCGAUUCUAUUUUGUUGGUUUCUAGGAUCGAUGUAAUGAUUAAUAGGGAUAGUUGGG
rnacentral:rRNA from 1 species